GUUUGGUCUGGUCGUGUGGACGCGCGAAAUCUGUAGGACGCCCACAGACUGACAUCCUGAUUCAACACAUACUUGUGUGGAAAGAUGGAUACACUACUCAGUGUGUCCAUGUCCUUAUUAGGCCAGGCGGCCCACGGCGUGCCACAGACGCCACCGCAGCCGCCUCGCCGGCCGCUGGGCCAGCUGACUAACGUGUGCG